AGGAUGAACGCUGGCGGCGUGCCUAAUACAUGCAAGUCGAGCGGUAAGGCCACUUCGGUGGUACACGAGCGGCGGACGGCUGAGUAACACGUAGGAACGUACCCCAAACUGAGGGAUAAGCACCAGAAAUGGUGUCUAAUACCGCAUGUGCUCUUCGGAGUAAAGCUACGGCGGUUUGGGAACGGCCUGCGCAAGAUUAGCUUGUUGGUGAGGUAAUAGCUCACCAAGGCGACGAUCUUUAG
rnacentral:rRNA from 1 species